rnacentral:rRNA from 1 species
AGUGGAUGGGGAGCAACCUAGUUGUGCGUGUGUAAAGGUAGUGCCAAGAAAAGCGAUGAUCAUGUUGAAAAUCAAUUCCCGGUACCCGAAACCGACACAGGUGGGCAAGUAGAGAAUACUAAGGGGCGCGAGGUAACUCUCUCCAAGGAACUCGGCAAAAUGACCCCGUAACUUAGGGAGAAGGGGUGCCACCGAGAGGUGGUCGCAGUGAAGAGGCCCAGGCGACUGUUUAGCAAAAACAUAGGUCUCUGCAAACUCGAAAGAGGAGGUAUAGAGGCUGACGCCUGCCCAGUGCCGGAAGGUUAAAGAAGUUGGUCAGUCUUAGGAUGAAGCUAGCGACUGAAGCCCCGGUGAACGGCGGCCGUAACUAUAACGGUCCUAAGGUAGCGAAAUUCCUUGUCGGGUAAGUUCCGACCCGCACGAAAGGCGUAACGAUCUGGGCGCUGUCUCGGAGAGAGGCUCGGCGAAAUAGGAUUGUCUGUGAAGAUACGGACUACCUGCAUUUGGACAGAAAGACCCUAUGAAGCUUUACUAUAGCUUGGAAUUGUGUUCGGGCUUCCUGUGCGCAGGAUAGGUGGGAGGCGUAGAAGGUAUUCUUGGGGGCGGUCGCCUCCAAAAAGGUAACGGAGGCGUACAAAGGUUCCCUCAGACUGGUUGGAAAUCAGUCGAAGAGUGCAAAGGCAGAAGGGAGCUUGACUGCGAGAAGUACAGUUCGAGCAGGGUGGAAACACGGUCUUAGUGAUCCGACGGUGCUGUGUGGAAGGGCCGUCGCUCAACGGAUAAAAGUUACUCUAAGGAUAACAGGCUGAUCUCCCCCAAGAGUUCACAUCGACGGGGAGGUUUGGCACCUCGAUGUCGGCUCAUCGCAACCUGGGGCGGAAGUACGUCCCAAGGGUUGGGCUGUUCGCCCAUUAAAGCGGUACGUGAGCUGGGUUCAGAACGUCGUGAGACAGUUCGGUCCAUAUCCGAUGUAGGCGUGAGAAUAUUGAGAGGAGCCUUCCUUAGUACGAGAGGACCGGGAAGGACGCACCGCUGGUGUACCUGUUAUGAUGCCAAUUGUAAACGCAGGGUGGCCAAGUGCGGAGAGGAUAACCGCUGAAAGCAUCUAAGUGGGAAGCCCACCUCAAGAUGAGUAUUCUGGUGUAAGGUCACGGGAAGACGACCCGUAAAUAGGCACGAGGUGGAAGUGCAGAGAUGUAUGAAGCCGAAGUGUACUAAUAGACCGUCGGCUUGACC